UUUUCAGGUAGGAUAAUCUUUAACUGUUUCUGCUUUUAGAGGCAGAUUGGAACGUGAUAAUUGAAGUUUGCAUGAUUUGUGAUUAGCAUCUCUACAUAAUCAGGACUUAUGGCACACUGAUUGCUCCUAUUUGAU
ensembl:snoRNA U8 U8 small nucleolar RNA